UGCCAAAGUGGGUCUUUGACCCAGGUGAAAUAAAGACUAGUUUCGCCCCUGCUUUGAGCACUGAGUUGAAACAGGAGUGUCACUUUUCCAACUUCUUCCUUCAUUCUUAUGUAUUUUCCAAGGAAAAGAAAAGUAACCACUCUCACCACCUUCAAGAGGACAGUGAGUGGUGAAGGGUGGGGUGGCAAUCGAAGAUAUUAUGGGUGCCAGGAGAAGAUAUCCAGGCUGCCUUUGCAGUCACAGGCACCAUGGUGGCAACCCCCGUUUGGAGUAUGCUCCCCGCAGAACAGCUUUAGGGUGAAAACUCUAGGAUACAGAAAUAACUGGUGCUGCAGCAAUUAAGAGAGGCUGUUCAAGAGGCAAUUAACAGUCUAUAUGUCACUAAUCUCCCAGAUGCUGUCAACAGGAAACAAUAUAAUGGGAUAACUAAAAGUGAACGAAAAGAAAGAUGAUAUAGGCAUUCUUUUAGAUUGUUUCCCAAGAAAAGCAUCCAUAAGUGCCCCCAAACUGUCAGUAUUUUGCGGGAGGGAUUCACACCAGAACUUCAGGUUCAUUCCAUGUCCUUAUAGAACUUUGGAGUGGCACAGAGGAAGGAUAUGCAAAAUCUCUGAAGCAGCAUUCCCUUAAAUCACUAUGGGAGCCAGCUGAGGCUCUUGACAGGCUCAAAAUAACUGGAGCUGACCAUGGUACUAGAAGCUGAAGAUACUACUGUUCAAGCAGAAACUUCAGUGGGUGCGGUGACAUUUAUGAAAUGAAUAUGCAGCAGAAAAGAGUGUGGAAUCCACUUAACCAUUCAGUGCUAAGAAACUGGUGUGCUGGGAUUUUUCAACUGAAUGAUGAUAAGGAAUGUUAAGGAGACAGGGCUGACAACGUCCUGGUAAACAGACAUGUAUCAUAUUGUGAUUCAUUAUCUCAAGAACGCCUAAUAGCUGUUUGCUACAAGCUAUACAGAGUACAAAAUUAAAUUGUUUUGAGA